UGUACCACCUAGCAUCGUUUUAAUCGAUGGGGGGACGCAGUAGGAUAGGCGAAGCGUACGAUUGGAUUGUACGUCUAAGCAGUGAGAUUGAGUGUUAGGCAAAUCCGGCACUCUUAAGAUUGAGCUGUGAUGGGGAGAGGAAAUUGUUUCCUCGAGUCGUUGAUUUCACACUGCCGAGAAAAGCCUCUAGAUAGAUAAUAGGU
rnacentral:rRNA from 1 species